rnacentral:rRNA from 1 species
GACGAACGCUGGCGGCGUGCUUAACACAUGCAAGUCGAGCGGUAAGGCCCUUUCGGGGGUACACGAGCGGCGAACGGGUGAGUAACACGUGGGUGACCUGCCCUCAGCUCUGGGAUAAGCCUGGGAAACCGGGUCUAAUACUGGAUAUGACUCCAUGACGCAUGUUGUGGGGUGGAAAGCCUUGUGCGGCUGAGGAUGGGCCCGCGGCCUAUCAGCUUGUUGGUGGGGUGAUGGCCUACCAAGGCGACGACGGGUAGCCGGCCUGAGAGGGCGACCGGCCACACUGGGACUGAGACACGGCCCAGACUCCUACGGGAGGCAGCAGUGGGGAAUCUUGCGCAAUGGGCGAAAGCCUGACGCAGCGACGCCGCGUGAGGGAUGGACGGCCUGGU